CCGAACCUCUUCCUUUCUCUUUCUCUUGAGUUUUUCUUCUGCAACAGAAAUCAUCGAGCCAUUACUUUGAUCUGCUAUUCAAUCCCGUUAAUCCAGUUACCAAAAAUAUGGUUCUUCUCUCUAUCAAUUGAGCCAUAUUCCGGUUUUCCAUUUGAUCAAUUUUGAGUAUAAUGGCUCGAAUUGAUUUGGUGUUAGGUUUGAUUUGGGGGUUUCUGAAUUGAAGUAUGAACCGAAAAGGAUUUAGGGUUUAUUCGACUGAGAAUACAAAAAGGAAAGAAGACUGUUGAUGGUGUUGUGGGUCUGUAAUUUAGGUUCAAUUUGAAGUUAUGGCUAAGAGGGAUUGAAACUGAGAUGCUGAAAACCUAAAACCACUUCCGCCGUCUCUUUUCUCCAUACCCUAAUUCCAUUAUCUUCUUCUCUCUAUUCUACAUAUGCAUUAGUAAUACUUGCUUUGAUUUUGACUUUCACAACUUGCUCAUUGGUAUUUUUUUCUUAGGUGUACCACUAAUUUUACACAGGUACUUGCACUCGAACAUAAAUAAUGGAGUAAAAUUUCUUAGUAUUAACUUUGAAGGAAGGCUCUUCACUUCUCCAGAUGUGGAGAAAUUGCACAAGAUUUUCUAGCUCUAUGCAUAGUCAAGACUUUAGAAACUUGCUCGCCGGCAUCAUUGCAAUUGAUGGAAACACUUCUUAUCAUUAGCUUACUGCAUGCUGGAACGGGUGAAGGGGCAUUGGUGCGGCUCCGCUAAUUGCUAGCAUUUUGAAGUCCUUGGGUGUACUUCCUUAUGGCGGGCGAGCGACUUGAUUGACCGUUGUGCCGAUGCGUUAAUUGUGAAAUGUAGUUUUUCUAGCCUCUCAAUGGAUUCAUGUGAGAAGUACCUCUGAAUGGUGACGCACAGGGAAUAAGGGCAUUUGGUGUUGUUGGUUUGGUGAUUGAAGUAGUAAGAAAAAGCUGGAAUUGUUUGAACUGCUACUGAGUUUAUGAUGAGUUGGUGGUGCUGAGUUGAAUUGCAGCAAGGAGGUGAUGGUUGUUUACAGUGAAGGUUGAUUGCAGGUGGUUUGCAAUUACAGCAAUGAUUGCAUGUGGUUUUUCAUUGAAAUGAUUGCAGGUGGUUUGUGAUGUAAAAGCUGGCUGCAGAUAGUUGAGUUGCAGUUGAUAGUGGUACUGUGCUUAGAGCUGAAAUGCAGAGAAGGUUGGAUGUGUGUUGGCCUGUGUUUGAAUGGAGUUACAAGUAAAUGAGCAUGGCAGGUGAUUGAAGCUGCAGUUUGUUGUAGUGGGUAUGUGGUGUUUGAGUCUGCAAUGGAAAGAAGGGAAUGAAUAUGUGCUUGAAAUGUGUUAUUGCGGAAGAUAUAACUGAUGUAUAAAGGAAAGAAGAGAAUGGCUGGAAUGGUGGAGCUAUUGUGUGCAGUUACCAUGGAACGGGGCGAGGCGAAGCCGAGCUACACCAAAUCAAGAAUCCUAAGCAUGCAUCAGGACAGAGCAAGGCAAAGCGGUUUGGGGCCCGCUCGGUGCGUAGCACGGGCACAAAAUCUAGUACUUUUAGCUCACUCACAGGUGCUAUGGAGUAUCAUAUUAAACAUCGGAGUUGUUCUAAAAUCAGAAUUAUACUUUUAAAUAACUCAGAUGCUAUGGAGUAUAUCAUAUUAAACACUGAGUGUUCUAAAAAUCAGAAUUGAAGUAUCA